CCUACGGGCGGCUGCAGUGGGGAAUAUUGCACAAUGGGGGAAACCCUGAUGCAGCGACGCCGCGUGAGUGAAGAAGUAUUUCGGGAUGUAAAGCUCUAUCAGCAGGGAAGAAAAUGACGGUACCUGAUUAAGAAGCCCCGGCGAACUACGUGCCCGCAGCCGCGGUAAGACGUAGGGGGCAAGCGUUAUCCGGAUUUACUGGGUGUAACGGGAGCGUAGACGGCAGCACCAGUCUGGAGUGAAAUGCCGGGGCUUAACCCCGGAACUGCUUUGGAAACUGUGCAGCUAGCGUGCAGGAUAGGUAAGUGUAAUUCCUCGUGUAGCGGUGAAAUGCGUAGAUAUUAGGAGGAACACCAGUGGCGAAGGCGGCUUACUGGACUGUACCUGACGUUGAGGCUCGAACGCGUGGGGAGCAAACAGGAUUAGAUACCCUUGUAGUC
rnacentral:rRNA from 1 species